AUGAAUGAUUUUUCUGAUUUGUUUCCUGCAUUUUUGCCAGUUGAGAAUGGGGAGGGUGGAGAUUUAUAUGAUAUUAUAAGGCAACACUCAUUGGACUGCAAUAAAGGCUUCCAUAUUCUAAAGGAAAAUGAGCAUGGUGGGGAUGUGGAUAAGGAUAAGAAAAGUAUUAACAGUGGAACAGAGAGGACAACGAGAAGGCGUAUGAUAUCCUUCUUGUCAGAGCUAAAAUCUCUACUACCACCAGAGAAUGAGAAGAGAAAAAGCUCAACCAGUGAGCUUCUAUGGAAAGCUACAGACUACUUUUCCCAUCUAAAAGGAUAGGUGGAUGGGCUUAACAAGAAAAAGGCAGACAUGAAAAUGAAGGGAGUGCAGAAAAGCUGCUUUUACAAGUUAGAUGAGAAGGAUUUUCCAAUUGUGAAUGUAAGCCAUGUGUGUUUGGAUGUUUUAAUCACAACUGAUACAAGAAUAGAUGACAUGGUGUUGUCUAAGCUUAUAGCUUCUGUUGAAGAGCAAGGCUUGCAAGUGCUUACUGCAUCCUCUUUCACCACUCAUGAUAGAAUCACUCACACCCUUACUUGCAAGGUCUGCCAUGCAAGGAGCUUUCAUGGCAGCACAAAGCUUGUUGAGAGCAUCUGGAAUUUGAUGAGAGAAAGGAACAUUUCACCUUGAUAGAUGCCAAAGCUCUUUAAUUGUGCAUGGCUAAUAGAUUAGGUCAAAGAUUUUUCUUACACCCAUGUAAUUGGAACUCUGUAAAUGAAUAAAGUGUAUGUGAAGUUAUGUAGAAAUAUAAUAUUAAUUAUUGAUUUUAAUAUAAAACUAUAAUUUAUGUAUAAAUAUAUUGUAUGAA